AUACGGAGGGUGCGAGCGUUGUUCGGAAUUAUUGGGCGUAAAGAGCAUGUAGGCGGUCUGUUAAGUCUGGUGUGAAAGCCCGGGGCUCAACCCCGGAAGUGCAUUGGAUACUGGCAGACUAGAGUAUGGGAGAGGAAAGCGGAAUUCCGAGUGUAGGAGUGAAAUCCGUAGAUAUUCGGAGGAACACCAGGGGCGAAGGCGGCUUUCUGGACCAAUACUGACGCUGAGGUGCGAAAGCAUGGGGAGCAAACAGGAUUAGAAACCCCGGUAGUCC
rnacentral:rRNA from 1 species